ensembl:lncRNA
UAAAAAGAAGAUCAAGAUUUGUCUGAUCAACACAGGAAGGCGACUUUGAGGAAGGAGAAGCUGGUAGUGUUAAAUCACAAACUCACAAUCCUUUGAGCAUGGAGAUAUCGCAUAGGCAACGAUACACCAAACUCCCCACCCAAGUACCUUCUUUGUCACCUAACCAGGGAUUAUCACAAAGGCCAGUCCUGAAAUACACAGGUGUUUUGAAAGCAAUGAAAUUACUCAGUCCAAAUGAAUAGCUACACCAUGCUGACAUUGCUCCUCUGGGGUAAGGAGUUGACUCUUGUUCCAUUUGUUCCCCAUAAACAGAGCAAAUGUAUUUCUAGGUUUAUU